CCAAACGCCCUGACGCAGGGUCUGAGCAACGUGGGAGCCCAUCUCUGCCUCCCUCUCUUCCUCUUCCUCCUCGUCCUCCUCCUCCACCACCUCCUCCCCGCUCAGCGGGUGCUAUGCGCCUCCAUGUCGCCUCCGCGGCACGGCUCCUCCCUCAUGGCCCGUGGGUCCGGCUAGCGGCGGUUCUGGCGUCUCCCAUCCCGGCGUCAACGGGAGAAUCAUCUCCAGCGCCGCUGUCCUCAUCCUGCUCGGCUCGCCUUCCUUACUCUCGCCCUCUCUGUCUCCUCUUCCUCGCUGGCUCGACAGAUGCGCAGAUUUGACCGCCUCCUCCCCCCUCAGUCCCUGCUUCCCUUCCCCUUCCCACCCGUCCCUCCUCCCCCUCUCCUCCCGUAUUAUGUGAUUCCCACCUUCACUGUUCUGCACAUAAUAGCUUGCAUUCACAUGUCACGUUUAGUGCUAUUAGCUUGUCUGUUUUUGUCUUGUUAAUUCACAAACUGUGGGGCGGGGGAUUCAAAAUACCUCACUGGUCCAUUUUUGUUAUGAAUUGUGAUGAUGAUGCAUUGUAUGUUUUUACAUGUAAAUAUAUACGUAUAUAUAUGUUUUUUACCAAAACCCCUGAGCCAAAUAAAUGCCUUUUAAAUGAA